rnacentral:snRNA from 1 species
UCAGCUCUCUUUGCCUUUUGGCUUAGAUCAAGUGUAGUAUCUGUUCUUUUUAGUUUAAUCUCUAGAACGCCCCUACGGGGGCAUUUCUCUUGAUUAAACUAGUUUUUGGAACCAGGUCGAUGGCCUCUGAGCUCCGCUUACCGUCAUUGACCACAGUGUCGCCUGUAUUGCACUGUCUCGGGCUGAUGCGAACACCC